rnacentral:rRNA from 1 species
UUGGAGGGCAAGUCUGGUGCCAGCAGCCGCGGUAAUUCCAGCUCCAAUAGCGUAUAUUAAAGUUGCUGCAGUUAAAAAGCUCGUGGUUGAAUUUCGGGACCAAUAUGUCGGUCGUGCCUCGGUACGUACUGGCAUCGUUGGUUUCUCCCUUCUGACGAACCAUGAUGUCAUUCAUUUGGUGUCGUGGGGAAUCAGGACUGUUACUUUGAAAAAAUUAGAGUGUUUAAAGCAGGCUCACGCUUGAAUACAUUAGCAUGGAAUAAUGAAAUAGGACGUUUGAUUCUAUUUUGUUGGUUUCUAGGAUCGACGUAAUGAUUAAUAGGGAUAGUUGGGGGCAUUAGUAUUCAAUUGUCAGAGGUGAAAUUCUUGGAUUUAUUGAAGACUAACUACUGCGAAAGCAUUUGCCAAGGAUGUUUUCAUUAAUCAAGAACGAAAGUUAGGGGAUCGAAGACGAUCAGAUACCGUCGUAGUCUUAACCAUAAACUAUGCCGACUAGGGAUCGGAUGAUGUUAAUUUUUUAAUGACUCAUUCGGCACCUUACGGGAAAC